rnacentral:rRNA from 1 species
AUUGAACGCUGGCGGCAUGCCUUACACAUGCAAGUCGAACGGAUCUAGGGGCUUGCUCCUAGGUUAGUGGCGAACGGGUGAGUAAUGCAUCGGAACGUACCCAGUCGUGGGGGAUAACGUAGCGAAAGUUACGCUAAUACCGCAUACGUCCUGAGGGAGAGAGCAGGGGAUCGCAAGACCUUGCGCGAUUGGAGCGGCCGAUGUCGGAUUAGCUAGUUGGUGGGGUAAAAGCCUACCAAGGCAACGAUCCGUAGCUGGUCUGAGAGGAUGAUCAGCCACACUGGGACUGAGACACGGCCCAGACUCCUACGGGAGGCAGCAGUGGGGGAAUUUUGGACAAUGGGCGAAAGACCUGAUCCAGCCAUGCCGCGUGAGUG